UACGUAGGAGGCGAGCGUUGUCCGGAUUUAUUGGGCGUAAAGAGCGUGUAGGCGGUCCGGUAAGUCCGCUGUGAAAGUCCAGGGCUCAACCCUGGAAUGCCGGUGGAUACUGCCGGGCUAGAGUCCGGAAGAGGCGAGUGGAAUUCCUGGUGUAGCGGUGAAAUGCGCAGAUAUCAGGAGGAACACCGAUGGCGAAGGCAGCUCGCUGGGACGGUACUGACGCUGAGACGCGAAAGCGUGGGGAGCAAACAGG
rnacentral:rRNA from 1 species